CCAGCUGUGAGGAUCCAUUCCAGCUGUGAGGAUCAGUGCUCUGUCCUGUGCUCACUGUGGGGUUUUUGGUUUUGUUUUGCUCAGCUCCUGGGACCCCAGGGAGGGCUCGGGGGGUGCAGCUGAGGCUGCCCUGCCCGUCCUGGCAGAUUUUGGGCAGGACGGAGCCUCGUCCCCAAAGCCAGCCCAUGACACCCCACAGCAGCGUCCCUGACCCCCAGGAUUCCUUUCUUUUCCCCAAAGAAACGAGUCCAUAACCCAGCUGGGCAGCAGCAGUGCCUCCAUCCCCGUGGGUUUGUCCCUUUUUGUGCCCAGUUCUGGCUGCUCUGUCACCUGUGUGUGCUGUGACCCCCAGAGCUGAGCAGCUUUGGUAGGAACCACACCCCAAACCUGCCCAGGCACCUCCAGCAGCCCCUGCCAGGUGGGCACGGGGGCACCUGCCCCACCUGGGCUGGUGUUUGUCCCAAAAGGGGACAGCUCAGAGCCCACCCCAACACCCAGUGACAGCCUGGGGGUGGCACUGGCUGGGCUUUAAUGUCCCCUCCAUCCCAAAGCUCUGGUUUGGGGUGGAUGGAGCGAACUCAGGAGGGAGCAGCUCCUUCAGGGACCCCUCCCCACUGCCACGGCUGCUCUGGGGCUGGUGGCACUGCUGUGGCUCUGUGUAUCCAUCCCCAAUGUUGGUGGCACUGCUGUGGUUCCAAAUGUCCAUCCCAGAGUUGGUGGCAUUGCCAUAGCUGCUCCAGGGUUGGUGGCACUGCUGUGGCUGCUCCAUGUCUCCAUCCCAGGGUUGGUGGCACUGCUGUGGUUCCAUGUGUCCAUCCCUGGGGUUGGUGGCACUGCUGUGGUUCCAAAUGUCCAUCCCUGGAGUUGGUGGCAUUGCCAUAGCUGCUCCAGGGUUGGUGGCACUGCUGUGGUUCCAUGUCUCCAUCCCAGGGUUGGUGGCACUGCUGUGGCUCUGUGUAUCCAUCCCCAGGGUUGGUGGCACUGCUGUGGUUCCAUGUGUCCAUCCCUGGGGUUGGUGGCACUGCCAUAGCUGUUCCAGGGUAGGUGGCACUGCUAUGGUUCCAUAUGUCCAUCCCAGGGUUGGUGGCACUGCUGUGGCUGCUCCAGGGUUGGUGGCACUGCCGUGGCAGCUCCAUGCGUCCAUCCCAGGGUUGGUGGCCCUGCCCCCUGGCUGUCCCCAGUGUCACAGGAGCUGUCCCAUCUCUCUCGUGCUGCACCAUUCGUACAGGUGACAAUAGUGCAUCCCGCCCGUCAGCUUCCCGAGUGGCGUUUUCUUUUCACACUUUUCUAUGGAGCCUUCGAACCCCACGUCCUUCACCACCAGGCUGUUUUGAUAGUUGUUCUCAGCCCCUCCAUGGCCAUCCUUCCCCAGCAUUCCCUACUUUUGGGGGCCUUCUAUCUUGUUAAAAAAAGAAAAAAACAAAAAAUCUUUUUACCGAGUGAAACAUCGACUCCACCUUUAUCCCCAUUCUCACUGGUGUAAAUACUGAUACUAACUGAGGAUUUUGACUUUGCAUUCUGUCAGAAUACUGUGUUCAAAUAAAAACUACAAAAAAAAAAAAAAAAAAAAAAAA